rnacentral:rRNA from 1 species
UACGUAGGGGGCAAGCGUUGUCCGGAUUUAUUGGGCGUAAAGAGCGUGUAGGCGGCCAUACAGGUCCGUUGUGAAAACUGGAGGCUUAACCUCCAGACGUCGAUGGAAACCGUAUGGCUAGAGUCCGGAAGAGGAGAGUGGAAUUCCUGGUGUAGCGGUGAAAUGCGCAGAUAUCAGGAAGAACACCCGUGGCGAAGGCGGCUCUCUGGGACGGUACUGACGCUGCGACGCGAAAGCGUGGGGAGCGAACAGG